rnacentral:rRNA from 1 species
UACGUAGGGUGCAAACGUCGCUCGGAAUCAUUGGGCGUAAAGCGCACGUAGGCGGCCUGUUAAGUCGGGUGUGAAAGCCCUGGGCUCAACCCAGGAAGUGCACUCGAAACUGGCGGGCUUAAAUAUGGAAGAGGGUCGCGGAAUUCCCGGUGUAGAGGUGAAAUUCGUAGAUAUCGGGAGGAACACCAGUGGCGAAGGCGGCGACCUGGGCCAAUAUUGACGCUGAGGUGCGAAAGCGUGGGGAGCAAACAGG